rnacentral:lncRNA from 1 species
GUGAGAAACCUUCUGUAGAAUUAGGUGAGAAGAAAUAAGGGAGAAUGUUAUACAAAAAUCAUAUCCAAUUUGGACUCAAAGAACAGAUUCUUGCCAUUUUUGUUGCUGAAAAUUAAGAUGACAAGAAAAAGAUAUUGUGGUGUGAUUUUUACAGAAAGAAUAAUACUCGCACACCUAAAAGACUUGCUAAAAGAUCCAUACAAAACUGCCCAACUAGAAGACAGCUAGGCCUUUCAAAUGACCAAUGAGAAAUGUGGGCAACAAGCUUCUCUGGAAACACUGCCACUCACUAAGGAGCAAUUAGAGCUACUGCAUAAGUUUCUCCAAUCUCAACUCCAAACCAGUAAACCCAAUCCAUGUAAUCCUACUAAUUUUUUUGGAACAUGUUUAACAACCCAUCAUGUUGAAAAAGUAUAGUGCAGCAGAAGACAAACAGGAAUCUAUGAAGAAAAGAAAACAAAAUAAAAAAUCCAUAUAAUAAUGAAGUGCAAAAGAAUAGCAGCGACAAAUGGUAACAAAUAGAAAGAUCAGUGGGGCAAAAAACCAAACACAAAGUACAUUAGUUGAAAAAAUACCAAAGAAUAGUGCUGGUCAAUUUAAAAUUUAUUUCUGAAAUAUUGCUUCAUUCCCAAAUUUAAUAUCUUAAACAACAAAAUCUCAUCAAUCUUAUUGAAAAAAUUUCAUUUAUACUUGCACUGGAUCCAGUGUACUUUGAUAAAGCUAAUUAUGGUUUUUACUAUUCAUAUCAUCUAUACUUUUGAUUUUGUUAAAUCAAUUUACGUAAUAUUUUUAAAAUACCACUUAGAAUGUAUGCCUAAAGCAAAUAAAAAAAAAUCAGCUUUCUUUAAAGCAAUUUUAAAAACGUUUUUAUUUUUUUAUUCCACUUUUAUUAGCAAAUUCCAGCAGAGGAACUCAGUCACGCAAUAAAGGAUGGAAAAAGAAAAGCACUUGGGACUUUAGAUUUAAUUUUUCACAUUAAAAAAACGAUUAUAAGUGCGAAGAAAAUUAUUGUAACGCAAAACCAAACAGGUCCCUCUACAAAAGCCAACUUCAUAUUUUUUUUCUACUUUUGAAAUAAAUUAAACAAGGUUAAUUAUAAUACUCAUAAUCAAAGAAAGAACAAGUACAAGAGAAAGAAUAAAUACCAGCAGAAGGUAAUAAGCUAGUUUAAAAGCAGAUAAAUAAUAAGUGAGAAUGCAAUAGAGGUACCAGCCGGAGUUGCAGGUACUUCUUCUGCUGAUUGAGUUGGAGUUCCAUCUCCCGUGCUUUGACUAUCGGUAGCAGCACUUCCCAAGGUGCUCGAACCUGCCGAAGAACCCCUCGUAGAGAACCGUACACCUUUUAAUAUUUGUUUUCUGCGAAUCAUUUUCCUAGAAAACAAAGUGGUAAUGGUUAACGAUGAAGCACCCAGCAAAGCACUGAAAAAGUCAUGGGUUUUGAGAAGGAGGAAAAACCGGGAAAAAUCUAAAUUUUCAACUUCCUUUUGCCGGGAAGCUUGAAACCUAC